UUGGAUUUAAUGUAGCAAACAUAAGUUUAGCUAUACAUGCCAUUAUAUAAUUCAUGAUAGUGUGAUGUCUCCUGAUCAUUUUAAAUGUGUUUUUCAUAUAGUAAUGUCAUCCUACCAAGCUAAGGCUGAAUCUGAGGAAGCUGAGAGCAAUGCUUCAACUUUAGUUCAAAACGUUGCAUCAGCAUCUGGUAGUGAAAGGCCCGUAUCUGAGGGCCGAAGUAAGGAGGAAAAAUAGGUCUUCUUUCAAUUGAUGAACGAAUGGCUCACCGAGUACUUAAGAACAAACCCCGCUGUA
rnacentral:lncRNA from 1 species